AUUGAACGCUGGCGGCAGGCCUAACACAUGCAAGUCGAGCGAGCGGCGGACGGGUGAGUAAUAUAUGGGAAAAUGCCCGAGGGAGGGGGAUAAAUACUGGAAACGGUAGCUCAUACCGCAUACCAUCAGAAGUGCGCAGAUGGGAUUAGCUGGUAGGUGGGGUAACGGCGAACAUAGGCGACGAUCCCUAGCUGGUCUGAGAGGAUUACCAGCCACACGGGAACUGAGACACGGUCCAGACUCCUACGGGGGGCAGCAGUGGGGAAUAUUGCACAAUGGGCGCAGGCCUGAUGCAGCCAGGCCGCGGGUGUGAAGAAGGCCUUCGGGUUGUAAAGCACGUUCAGCGGGGAGGCGUUACCCGCAGAAGAAGCACCGGCUAACUCCGUGCCAGCAGCCGCGGUAAUUC
rnacentral:rRNA from 1 species